rnacentral:rRNA from 1 species
CUCUCUAGGGAACAUGUGCACGCCUUGUCAUCUUUAUAUCUCCACCUGUGCACUUUUUGUAGACCUUUCAGGUCUAUGUUGCUUCAUUUACCCCAAUGUAUGUUAAUAGAAUGUUGUGACUAUAUAAUAUAUACAACUUUCAGCAACGGAUCUCUUGGCUCUCGCAUCGAUGAAGAACGCAGCGAAAUGCGAUAAGUAAUGUGAAUUGCAGAAUUCAGUGAAUCAUCGAAUCUUUGAACGCACCUUGCGCUCCUUGGUAUUCCGAGGAGCAUGCCUGUUUGAGUGUCAUUAAUAUAUAUAUCAACCCUCUCUUUGUUGAGUGGUUUGGAUGUGGGGGUUUGCUGGCCUCUUAAAUGGUUCAGCUCCCCUGAAAUGCAUUAGCAGAACAACCCUGUUCAUUGGUGUGAGAACUAUCUACGCUAUUGAAUGUGAAGGGAAGUUCAG